AGAACGAACGCUGGCGGCAUGCCUAAUACAUGCAAGUCGAACGAGAUCUUCGGAUCUAGUGGCGCACGGGUGCGUAACGCGUGGGAAUCUACCCUUGGGUUCGGAAUAACAGUUGGAAACGACUACUAAUACCGGAUGAUGACGAAAGUCCAAAGAUUUAUCGCCCAAGGAUGAGCCCGCGUAGGAUUAGCUAGUUGGUGAGGUAAAGGCUCACCAAGGCUACGAUCCUUAGCUGGUCUGAGAGGAUGAUCAGCCACACUGGGACUGAGACACGGCCCAGACUCCUACGGGAGGCAGCAGUAGGGAUAUUGGA
rnacentral:rRNA from 1 species